rnacentral:rRNA from 1 species
UACAGGGGGUGCAAACGUUGCUCGGAAUCAUUGGGCGUAAAGCGCACGUAGGCGGUCUGUUAUGUCGGAUGUGAAAGCCCUUGGCUCAACUGAGGAAGUGCAUCCGAAACUGGCAGGCUAGAGUACUAAAGAGGAUCGCGGAAUUCCCGGUGUAGAGGUGAAAUUCGUAGAUAUCGGGAGGAACACCGGUGGCGAAGGCGGCGAUCUGGGUAGAUACUGACGCUGAGGUGCGAAAGCGUGGGGAGCAAAUAGG